GCUUCUUUUUCCACCGGAGCUUGCUCCACCGGAAAAAGAGGAGUGGCGAACGGGUGAGUAACACGUGGGUAACCUGCCCAUCAGAAGGGGAUAACACUUGGAAACAGGUGCUAAUACCGUAUAACAAUCGAAACCGCAUGGUUUUGAUUUGAAAGGCGCUUUCGGGUGUCGCUGAUGGAUGGACCCGCGGUGCAUUAGCUAGUUGGUGAGGUAACGGCUCACCAAGGCCACGAUGCAUAGCCGACCUGAGAGGGUGAUCGGCCACAUUGGGACUGAGACACGGCCCAAACUCCUACGGGAGGCAGCAGUAGGGAAUCUUCGGCAAUGGACGAAAGUCUGACCGAGCAACGCCGCGUGAGUGAAGAAGGUUUUCGGAUCGUAAAACUCUGUUGUUAGAGAAGAACAAGGAUGAGAGUAACUGUUCAUCCCUUGACGGUAUCUAACCAGAAAGCCACGGCUAACUACGUGCCAGCAGCCGCGGUAAUACGUAGGUGGCAAGCGUUGUCCGGAUUUAUUGGGCGUAAAGCGAGCGCAGGCGGUUUCUUAAGUCUGAUGUGAAAGCCCCCGGCUCAACCGGGGAGGGUCAUUGGAAACUGGGAGACUUGAGUGCAGAAGAGGAGAGUGGAAUUCCAUGUGUAGCGGUGAAAUGCGUAGAUAUAUGGAGGAACACCAGUGGCGAAGGCGGCUCUCUGGUCUGUAACUGACGCUGAGGCUCGAAAGCGUGGGGAGCAAAC
rnacentral:rRNA from 1 species